UGACACUGUGGUUGCAAGGAGAUGG
rnacentral:piRNA from 1 species